GGUCUUCAGCAAAGUGUUGAUGGAGGUGAAGGUAGUGGUGGUGGUGGUGGUGGUGGUGAUGAAGGUUUCAGUUUGUUUCUGGGUACGGUUGUGUCAUGUAGUGGUGUUGUGUAGGUUUUGUUGCGUCGAUAAAAGAUACGUGAGGUAAAACAAGAAAGAUAAGAUAGAAAAAAAACAUUCGUGACUAAGAUAAGAAAGAUAACAGUUAGGAAUAAGAAAUGCAAGAGUAAUACAAGAUAGAUAAUAGAGAAAAACAGAUGAGUGAGUAAAUACAAAAUAACGAAAAAGAUACGUGAGGUAAAACAAGAAAGAUAAGAUAAAAACAUUCGUGACUAAGAUAAGAAAGAUAACAGUUAGGAAUAAGAAAUGCAAGAGUAAAACAAGAUAGAUAAUAGAGAAAAACAGAUGAGUGAUUAAAUACAAGAUAAAAAGAAAGAUACGUGAGGUAAAACAAGAAAGAUAAGAUAGAGAAAAAAACAUUCAUGACUAAGAUAAGACAGAUAACAGAUAUGAAUAAAAGAUGCAAGAAUAAUACAAGAUAGAAAAUCGAGAAAAAGAUUUAAGAUGGAUAAACAAAUAGAAAAAUAAAUGACUCAAAACAAUUAAAACGAGAGAACACCAAAUAGAAAGAAAAAUAUAUAAAUAAUUAGGACAACAUAGAUGACACUUAGGAAGAAAAAAGAAAAGAUAGAAAUGACCAUGAGUGAGUUAGAAGUGAGUAGAGCAGGAUAGACAGCAGACAGAAAAGCAAUAGACAGACGAAUGUGAGUAGAACAAGAUAGAUAUUCAAACAACGGCGUAACAGCUUAACCAGACAGACCGCGUAAAUUGAGUCGUACGGAGGCAACCUAACAAGCGUCCGUGUGACAUAAUUACAAACAAGGGCAGCGUAAGAGAGAAAGAAGGAAGGAAAGAAGGAAGGAAGGAAGGUACAACUCUGAAAUAAUAAAAUCGUGGGCGUAGUGUUAAGCCAGCCAUGAUAAGAAGAUAAAAUGGAAAAUAAACUUGAGGAGAAAGGCGGAGAAAGAAAAAAAGGGAAGGAAGGAAGAAAGUCAAAUAAGAAGAGAUGGGAGGUGGGAAAUAAAAAGCAAGUUGAAGGAAAAGGAGAAAUGGAGGGGAGGAGAGCGGUGUUAAAAAUGACAUACGUUGAUCGACUGAAAAAAAAAUAAGAGAAAAAAUGAAAAAGAACUAACGAGGAAGAUCUGAGAAAAAAAAUUAUGUAUGUUGAAUAAUAAAUAGAUAGAUAGAUAGAUAGAUAGAUAGAUAGAUAGAUAGAUAGAUAGAUAGAUAGAUAGAUAGACAGACAGAUAGAUAAAUGAGUAGAUAAAGAGACAAAUGGAGAGAUAAGCAGAUAGAUAGAGAUAGAGACAUUGAGAUUGAAAAUGAAAAUGGGCUGAAAUCAAAGCAAACGAGACUACAAAGGUUUUAAAGGAACGCUUGAAAGACAGACAAAAGAAAACAACGACGGUGCGAUGGCAAGGGUAAAAAAAAAAGUGAGCGAGAAGAGAAAGAGAGAGAGAAGGGAACUUUGGUGUGCGUGUCGGGGCUGAAAGAGGCGCCAACUUGAAAGGGGAAGGUCUGUGUAUGUUUUUUUUUUUCUUUUUUUUUAACCGUGCCCCCCAAAAAAAAACUGAAGAAGAAGGAAAUGAAUGAAAAUAAGAUAUAGAUUGGGAUAUGAAAACAGACAAGAAAAGGCAAGAAAGACUCAGCGAAACGUCAACUUGAAAGGCAAAGGUCUGUGUAUGUUAUUUUUUUUUCUUUUUUUAAUCGUGGCCAAAAACGAAACUGAAGAAGAAGGAAAUGAAAGAAAGUAUGAUGUAGAUUGGGAUAUGAAAACAGACUAAAAAAAAAGCAAGACUCAGCAAAACGUCAACUUGAAAGAACAAAGUAUAUAUAUUUUAUCACAACUUUAAGAAUAGAAAGAAACACUGAUCACGGGACAAAUAAAAGAAAAAAAUAAUGUUAGCUUGCAAUAUGAAAGCAGACAAGAAACAGCGGAAGUCUAUAUUAAAAAAAAAAAAAAAAUUCACUUGAAAGACCAAAAGUACGUAUUUCAUCACAAUCGUAAAAAUAGAAGGGAAGAAAAAGAUCACUGGAAGAAGGGAAUGAAAAAAUAUAAUAUAGAUUAGGAAUUGCAACUAGACAUGAAACAGCAGAGAAAAGAUCAGACAAAACUUCAAUUGAAAGAGUAGAGUGUGUAUUUUUAUUUAACAUAGUGGCAAAAAUAGAAGAAAAAAAAAUGAUCACUGGAAGAAGGAAAUUAAAAUGAUGUAGCUUGGGAUGUGCAACCAGACAAAAAAACAAAAAAAAAAACAGCAGAGGAACGAUUAAAAACUUCACUUGAAAGAGCAAAGUACGUAUUUCAUCGCAAUGGUAGAAAAUAGAAAAAAAAAUGAUGACAGGAAGGAAAUCAAUAUAAAAGUAGAUUGGGAUUUGAGAACAGACAAGAGACUGCCGAAAAAAAUAUUCAGAAUAACGCCAAGUUGAAAAGAGCAAAGUAUGCCUUUUUACUUUUACCUUGGCAAAAAAAAAAAAAAGAGAACUGGAAGACAAAUAAAAAAAAUGAUGUAGCUUGGGACAUGAAAGUAGACAAGAAACAGCAAAAAAAAAAAAAAAGAUUCAGCAAAACUUCAACUUGAAAGAGCAAAGUAUGUGUCGUAUCACAAUGGUAAGGAUAGAAAAAAAAAAUGAUUACUGGACGAAGAAAAUGAAAAAAAAAAAAGUAGACUGGGACAUGAAAGUAGACAAGAAACAGCAAAAAAAAGAAAAAGAUUCAGCAAAACUUCAACUUGAAAGAGCAAAGUAUGUGUCGUAUCACAAUGGUAAGGAUAAAAAUAAAAAAAAAUGAUUACUGGACGAAGAAAAUGAAAAAAAAAGUAGACUGGGACAUGAAAGUAGACAAGAAACAGAAAAAAAAAAAGAUUCAACAAAACUUCAACUUAAAAGAGCAAAGUAUGUGUCGUAUCACAAUGGUAAGGAUAAAAAAAAAAAUUUGAUUACUGGACGAAGAAAAUGAAAAAAAAAGUAGACUGGGACAUGAAAGUAGACAAGAAACAGCAGAAAAAAAGAUUCAACAAAACUUCAACUUGAAAGAGCAAAGUAUGUGUCGUAUCACAAUGGUAAGGAUAAAAAAAAAAAAUGAUUACUGGACGAAGAAAAUGAAAAAAAAAAUAGACUGGGACAUGAAAGUAGACAAGAAACAGCAAAAAAAUCGAUUCAACAAAACUUCAACUUGAAAGAGCAAAGUAUGUGUCGUAUCACAAUGGUAAGGAUAGAAAAAAAAAUGAUUACUGAACGAAGAAAAUGAAAAAAAAAAGUAGACUGGGACAUGAAAGUAGACAAGAAACAGCAAAAAAAAAAAAAGAUUCAGCAAAACUUCAACUUGAAAGAGCAAAGUAUGUGUCGUAUCACAAUGGUAAGGAUAAAAAAUAAAAAAAUUUGAUUACUGGACGAAGAAAAUGAAAAAAAAAGUAGACUGGGACAUGAAAGUAGAUAAGAAACAGCAGAAAAAAUCGAUUCAACAAAACUUCAACUUGAAAGAGCAAAGUAUGUGUCGUAUCACAAUGGUAAGGAUAGAAAAAAAAAAUGAUUACUGGACGAAGAAAAUGAAAAAAAAAGUAGACUGGGACAUGAAAGCCGACAAGAAACAGCAGAAAAAAAAAACAAAGCGCCAACUUGAAAGAGCAAAGCAUGUGUUACCAUAGCGAUAAAAAUACAAACGACUGAGCACGGGAAGAAGGAAAAGGAAAAAAGUGACGUAGCUUGGGAUAUGGAAGCAGACAAGGAACAGCGGAAAAGAUUCAACAUAACUUCACUUUGAAAGAGCAAGGUAUACUUUUUUUUCAUCAUAAUAAUAAAAAGUAUAUCACUGGAAGAAGAAAAUAAUAUAUAGAUUGAGAAAUGAAAGUAGACAAGAAACAGAAGAUAAAAACUCAACAAAACGUGGACGUGAAAGAGUAAGGAAUAUAUUUUAUCCUGCACGGUAAAGGUAAAGUUGAGAGCAUACGCCAUUGAUGUGCGUGGCUGCGGGGCUCAUCUCCCCGUUGGCCCUUUGAGUCUGUGGUGGGAGAUUUAACCCACUAACCCGGCACAGGGCCAGCGUGACACCCGGGAUGCCACAGUUUACUUUCUCCGGGUUUCCCCAGGUACCCAUUUAUCGACCAGCCCAAAAGGAAGGGUGAACAGCUGGGUGGGCUGCUCGCCGACUGCCAGGCCAGGAUUCGAACGCAGACUCGCAGAUUCUUAGUCAGUGACGCUAACCACUGCGCCGCGGAGGCGAUAUUUUUUUUUAUCAGUGGUAAAUUUUUCUCAAAUAUGAUCAAUGGAGGAGAACAGUAAAAGGGAAAAGGAAGAAAAUAGAGGUUGUGCGAUACGAAGCCAGACAGUUCAAGGACAAGAACACACACACACACACACACACACACACACACACACACACACACACACACACACACACACACACACACACAGAGUAGGGAAGAAAAGUCGACUUGAAAGAGGAAAGUUUGUUUUGACAAAGUAAGAAAGAAAAACAAAGACUUAUUUGAUGAAAAUAAAAAGAAAAUAGCGGAAAGGAAACAGAAAAUAGAGGAAUAACUGAGAUGUGAAGACAAGACACGUACAUGGCAGAAAUUAUUAAAAAAAAUUCUUCAAAGAGCAAAGUUUGUUUUAAUGAAGUUAGAAAGAGAAACAACGACUUUCUGGAAGAGAAUAUAAUAAAAGGAAAAUAAAUAGUUAACUUGCGAUGUAAGAGACGCAUUACAAAAAAGACUUAACAAAACGUCGACUUCAAAGAGCAAAGUUUGUUUUAAUGAAGUUAGAAAGAGAAACAACGACUUUCUGGAUGAGAAUAUAAUAAAAGGAAAAUAAAUAGUUAACUUGCGAUGUAAGAGACGCAUUACAAAAAAGACUUAACAAAACGUCGACUUCAAAGAACAAAGUUAAUAUAUUCCUUCACUACACCACAGGCUCAAGGACCAAGGCGACGGAGACGAGCACCGUGGCCACGCGCAGCUAUAUAGAGUACCCCCCUAACUUUACCUUUACCUUACAACAUAUAUGAAAAAAAAAAUUAACUGUUACUCCAUAAAAGAAAACAAGAUAUAAUGACACCAAAAAAAUAAAUCAUAAAUUGUGGUAUUCUUCAAAUUGAUGACGCCGCCUAAAAAUUUAUGGCGCCGGGAACUUUUUUAUGAAGUUAAGGAAAUUUAUGACAUCAAAAUUUAUUAGGGGCAAAAAUUAUAGUUAUGGAGACUUACGACUUAUUAUGAGCGUGCGACGGGUGGACUCCAUGAUAUAUAAAUAGGUGAUAAAUAAAAUAAAUAAUAAAUAAAUAAUAAAAUAAAAUAAAUAAAUAAAAUAAUAAAUAAAAUAAAUAAGUAAAAAAUGGAGAGAGAAAAUAAGAGAAAAGAGAAGCAGAAGAGAGAAAAUAUUAAUAAAGUAAAUAAAUAAGACACUCCAUAAUAAGUAAGGAAUAAAGAGAGAAAAUAGAGAAAGGGAAAUAGCAGAGACAAAAGGAAAACUCAAUAAAUUCAAUAAACGAAUGAGGAAACAAAGAGACAAAAGAAAAGGUAUAUAUGGAUGAAGAGAAAAUAAGAAAGAACAGAAAUAAAAAAGGGAAAAUAAGAGAAAAAAAAUAAAAGGGAGAAAAAAGUAUAAGCGAAAAAUGAAAAAGCAGACCCUUUCAGAAAAUAAAUAAACAAAUAAAAUAAAUUAGACAGGACGAAGAAAAAUAUGGAAAGGGAAAAAGUAAGGCGAGGUAAGGUUGGGGGUAUACGUUAUAUCUGCGCGUGGCCACGGUGCUCAUCUCCGUCGCUUUGGCCCUUGAGCAUGUGGUGGGAAGAACCAUCAAUCCGGGACGCCGUUGCCAGAUUGUCGUACUCAGAGCCUAGUAUUGACCUGUUUCUGACGCCUAACUAUUGCCCCGCUGCACACGACUUUCUACUCAUGCUCAUCCCUAAACUGUCCAAACCCCUUAUGCAAGAGUCAAUCAGCAUCUUCACUCUUUCAUCCCUCACGCUGGUAAACUCUGGAGCAAUCUUCCUUCAUCUGUAUUUCCUCCUGCCUACGACUUGAGCUCUUUCAAGAGGAGGGUAUCAGGACACCUCUCCUCCCGAAACUGACCUCUCUUUUUGGACACUCCUUUGACCUCUAUUCAGGAGCAGUGAGUAGCGGGCUUUUUUUAUAUUUUUCUUUACGCCCUUGAACUGUCUCCAAAGCUGAAAAAAAAAAAAAGAAACAUCAGAAUCUAACUCUUUUAACGAUAACUAUAAAUUACUUUCCUUACUGGAGCCCAGAAGACAGUUUGGGGGUAGGAAGUCGGGAAAUAUAAGCGGCUGAGUACGACAAUCUGGUACGUUGCAUCCGGGUUACCACAGUUUACCUUCCCCAGGUGUCCCCAGGUACCCAUUUGUCGACCAGCCCGAAAGGGAGGAUGAACAGGGUGAGCUGCACGCCACCUGCCCGAGCCGGGAUUCGAACCCGAGCCCGUGGAAUCGCGGCUAUACCCAUUAACCACUGGACAACGGAUACGUAAUAAUGGACAGGGAAAGAAAAUUAAAAAAAGAAACAAAAUAAAACAAAAGAAAUCAUGAAUAAGGAUUAAAAGGUAAAAGUUAAUAACAAUACAAAACAAAGAGGAAGGAACAAAAAAUAAGAAAAGAAAUGAAAAAAAUGUUACAAAAGAAAAAAGAAUAUGAAAGAAAAAUACAUAAACGUUAAAAACAAACAAAAAAAGCGGAAAUUAACAGAACAAGAAAAUAGCGACAGAAGAAUUAACAAAGCGACAAAAAAUAAACAAAAAAACAAUAGCCAGAAAGAAAGGAAAUACAAAAAAUACAUUAAACGAAGCGGCAGAAAAAAAAGAACAAGUGAGGAAAUGAAAAAUAUAACAAAAAUUUAUCAUUCAAAGGAAAAGAAAAAAAAAUCGCCCAUAUGUGUGUGUGUGUGUGUGUGUGUGUGUGUGUGUGUGUGUGUGUGUGUGUGUGUGUGUGUGUGUGUGUGUGUGUGUGUGUGUGUGUGUGUGUGUGUGUGUGUGUGUGUGUGUGUGUGUGUGUGUGUGUGUGUGUGUGUGUAGGUCAGGUUUAAAGCGAGAAUCAUUACACGAGAAACGAAAAAAUAAAGUUAAUAAAAAAAACAUUGAACCGACUGUAAUUUUGUGUUUUUAUUUUUGCAGUUUUUAGAAAAGGAAAAAAAAAGAGAAACAGAGAGAGAAAACAAAAAAAUAAUCUCUCGCUGAGGCCAAAAUAAGAAAGAAAUAAACAAAGAAAGACAGAGAUAAAAGAUAGAUAGAAAGAGAGAAAGAAAGAAAGAGAAUGAAAGAAAAAAGGAGAUAGAGAGAAAAAAAGAAAGAAAAAGAAAGAAAAAAAAAACAGACAACUCUACCAACCAACUAGUAAAACCAUGAACACAACAAGCAAAAGAAAAGAAGGAGGUAGAAGAGGAGGAGAAGAAGAAGA